rnacentral:misc_RNA from 1 species
AGAGACACUCAAACACCAUCCUCGCACAUAAUGAUGGAAUAGAAAAAAUUUUCCCAAGAAAAAAAAAUCUAAGAAAUUAGAAAAGAAGAUUGAAAGAAACUAGACAUUAAUAGGUGUAAAGGAUGAGCAAAUAACCUUAUUUUCUUUUCCAAGAAGCCAAAGCAGGGUAUUCCUUUCAAAUGAAACAGUUUUUUGCAUUACAUUCUGCUCAUUAAAACCUGAAUCUAUAUCUACUUUUCCAUCUUCCAAUGCCAAUCUUAGAAUUAGUAUCUCCUUACACCACCAUUCCCAUUCUUCAUUUUCAAAUCACCAUCUGCGACAACAUUUUUGCUCAUUGAAAAUGGAAAGAAAAAUGGCCUCCUUGAAGAAUCCCCAGUUGAUUUUUAUUUAUGCUUCUCCUUGUCCCUUUCUAAGCCAAAUCUUUGAUUUAG